UACGUAGGGGGCAAGCGUUAUCCGGAUUUACUGGGUGUAAAGGGAGCGUAGACGGCAGUGCAAGUCUGAAGUGAAAGGCGGGGGCCCAACCCCCGGACUGCUUUGGAAACUGUGCUGCUGGAGUGCAGGAGAGGUAAGCGGAAUUCCUAGUGUAGCGGUGAAAUGCGUAGAUAUUAGGAGGAACGCCAGUGGCGAAGGCGGCUUACUGGACUGUAACUGACGUUGAGGCUCGAAAGCGUGGGGAGCAAACAGG
rnacentral:rRNA from 1 species